CAAGCGUAGAUGCAACUUUACAGGAAUGAAGAUCAUUGAAAACUAAUGGAACUGAACAGCAGCAGGAAGCUGAGCAAAGGAACGCAAAUAAAAAGCAGCGCUACCAGAUCCAGUGGCUGGAAGCUAAAACAAGAUAAAUUCAAACUGGAAACGAGAUGCCAAUUUGUAACAGUGAGAGGAAUAAACCCCGGGAACAACUUCCCAGUGGCUGUGGCGGACUCUCGGGGUGCAACUCCACUACAAAAUUAACAAAAAGCACAGAGCGAGGCACAUCACCCUGAUCACGCUACCUGCUGAGACGCACCCCCUUUGGAAUAAUCUGGUUCCCACAGAGGCUUGUGUGUACUGAUGUUCUUUUCACAAUGGCGGGGCUACGGGUAAUAUUACAAUAACACCUCUAAGCCCCAAAUCAAAUUCAGGCAUCCACAGACCGUGACCUAACUUAGUGUCCCGAGUGUGCUGCUGGGCACCUCCCAAACCCCAAUCUCGCUUCUCCUGUAAGAAGUGCUGUCUGGUGAAUCUCAUCCUGAGUGCUGUCUACAGACAUAUACCUCUUUGGAGUCAACUGGUUAACUAAGAGCAUGCGUGUAGUGAGGCUUUUGCCGCGCCAUGGCAAUUAGUUAUUAUGAUCCUGCCUGUGGAAAGCUGUGUUUCUGGGGGAAAGUUUCAGCCAAACUGGUUCAGCCCUUUCAGAGAACGAGGUCAGGGAAUGUCUUGUUUUGGCCAUGUUAAAAAGAGGCAUCCUGGCCCAUCUUUUCUUUCAAAAGAUCUAGUGUCCUCAUGCUUUGGAGCAGGGACUUGAAUUUUGGCCAGGGUUGGCCUUGGGCUCAAGGAGGUAUCUUUGGCUGUCCCCGGGGGAAAAUCUGCCCAAAUCUGGCUAAGUGAUAAGCCUUUAGUUUAGAAAAUCUCAUUGUGUAUAAUUUUCUUAUGUCCCUUCUGAUUUCCAGUCUCUCUAUGAUCCCAAUCUCUUCAAUGUCUCCUUACAAAAGAGUUCUCUAAGCCCUUGAUCAAUAGGAAAAGCAUUCGUGCCUGUUUGCUAAAAGCAAAUAUGGGAAACCUGCCAGCAUUAUCUGUUUCUAAGAGAUAAAGUGGUGCUAGCUUGUCUAAAGGUUCAGGGACUCUGCAGCAUGGAGGUUACAGCAAUAAGCAAGAGUGGCUCUGAGAUGCUAAAAAUGCCAGGAAGAUGGCAAUGCUCCUUGCAUGCAGUUAGCUACUGAAAUCUCUGGGCAGAUUCCGAACAAUAUGGGGGUGGGGGUAAUGGGCUGAGGGCUGGGACUGGUGGUGUCUGUUCCCAGCUGUAGGUAGGGAACAGGGCCUGGUGGUUAGAGCAGGGAGGGCUAGGAGCCAAGACUCCUGUGUUCUAUCCCCAGCUCAAGAAGGGAGGGAAAUCUAGUGGUAAGAGCAAGGGAAGGACCAGGAGUCAGAACUGCUGGUUUCUGUUCCCAGCUCUGUCCUGUAGCGUGACCUCCCACUCUCUGUUUAGAUGGUGAAUGCUUCAGGCAGGGACUCUCACCGUGUGUCUGCUCUUUAGCAGCUGGCAACAUGGGGGCUCUCGCUGUGACCAUAACAGACAAGGCUUGUGGACAUCUCUGCUGGGAGCUCCAGCGUACCAUGACACAACACA